CUUUCGCAUCACGCAGAAUUCGCUCCUGGCCGCUGUUCCGUCGGCAACCGCUCCUUGCCGCACCUCUCCGCCGCCCUCCUCCUCCUACUCGUCCUAUUCCAGCUUUGACUGCCUCAACCCGGCCUCCUCCUCCGCCGCCGCGUCCGUGCCUUUCGGUAUGCACGACUCCGGUAAGCGUCGACGCCAUCUCGGCUCGUAGGACACCGACCGGCGCCUCGCCGGUCGCCGCCGCAAACUGCCCCGCCCGCCUAGCUUCUUCCAUGGGCCAGCCGCCGCCGACCUGCUCUGCUCUUUCAUCUUGCCGCCGGACGCCCCCAAAACCACAAGCCAUAGCAGGGACGGGUCCCCAUCCCAUGGCUAGAGGAGAUCGGCAGUGCCGGCGAUGUAACUUUUCGCGGUGGUCGAGGACGGGGCUUGCUCCACUCGAUAUGCUUGGAGCCGGUGAUGGUCCUGGAGGAGAUUGGCGUUGAGGAUGACGGGUUCGCUCGCCGUGCAUCGGUGUGCGCUUCAGGCCAAACAGGAUUUGCAUGCUACAACUACAAAGAAUGCGGUGUUGCCCUGUCAAUUCAGGCCAACUAUGCUGCAAUACCAGUCCAACGCUGCAUCGAGCGGCGGCAGCCGAUGUUACAAGGCUUGGGCAGCGGUGGACAGGAAAGCUGCCAUGGGUGACGACAAUGCCGCGAGCAACGUCGAGUAGUGCUUCCAGUGGCCUUGAGUAUUCUACCACCGGUGAGUGUUGGUGCUGCGAGCCAAGGUCGAUGUUGCCGCUAAGGGCGGCGACAAUACACAUACGACCGGUGUUGCUACCAUCUUGUGGCGGGGGACAAAUGAUAAUGCUGCCAACAGCCCACGACGAUGCUACCAACAGUCAGUGAUGGUGCUGCAAGAACCAAGUGAGGUGCUGCCAGCCGGAGUUGGGAUGCUGCCAACAGUGCACCGGUCACUAGUAUUUCACUAUGCUACAAUAGUAUAAAUCUUUUGGUACAAAUGUUUUGUGGUUCUGCUACUUUAGUAUAUUUUAGUUUGAUACGGGGCGAUCUUUGGUCUUCACCGCAUCGUGUGCUUCAUCGCCAAGACGGCACGCUAAGGUGAAUCUUCUCCUUUACGCGUGCCUCGAAUUGCCUAUUUUGGACGAUAUACUACUUCAUACCCCGUCAUAUCUUGAUGAUAGGAACUCGACGACAAGUACGGGGAGAAGAGACGAUGCCAUGUAGACCCGAGGACGCAAGGCCGAUGUCAUGGAAGCAUGGAAGAGAUGGAGGAAGAAGCGCUGGACGCUCCAGGCCGGAACUUCCGCCCGACCUCACCGGAACUUCUGCCCAGAUGCUGUCAAGACCAAAGAUGCUCAUGCUGAAGAGCUGCGGCCAGAAGUUCCGCCCCUGAUGGCCGGAACUUCCGCCCCAUCGGAACUUCCGCCCAAGUUCCGCCCUUGUUCCGAAAACGUGCCAAAACACCCCUGGAUUAUACUGCAAAGAAAUCGACCGUCUUCGGAACUAGGCCGGAAGUUGGCCGGAACUUCCGGCCCGACCGGAACUUCCGCCCCUGAUGGCCGGAACUCCCGCCCGAUCGGAACUUCCGCCCCCAGGAGCCGGAACUUCCGCCCCAUCGAACCUCAGCCAGAUCUCAGCCCCCUUGGCUUGUAACUUACCCCUUCGUCCCCUUACCUAUAAAUAGGAACCUACCCCCACCUUCAUGAGAGAGAGAUGAUGUUUAGAUGAAUUGGCUUAUGCCUCUAUUAUCCCUUUGUGGAUUUGGGAAACCCCCACUGAUACGGGGCGACCUUCGGUCUCCACUGCAUCAUGUGCGUCAACAUCUACACGUCACGCAAAGGUGAAUCUUCUCCUUUAUGCGUUCCUACAAAUGUCUCUCCUGAAUGGUAUGCUAUUUCAUCCUACGUCAUAUGACCAUGAUAGGUAUGCAUCGCCGAGUAUGGAGGAAGUGGAUGACGCCAUGGAGACUCGAGGACUCAAGGUCAACGUCAAGGUCAUGGGAAGCAUGGAAGAGAUCGUCAAGGAGAAGGGGACGCGCCGCGAAGGCCGGCACUGCCGCUCAGGACGAUCGGCACUGCCGCCCAUCUCCAUCGGCACUGUCGCCCUACCACUACACCUGAGGAUGACGACCCUGUCGCCCUACCUGCGCCGACACUACCGCCCCACUGCAAAGAGCAUCAAAUCUGAACCCUUUAUCCCUUUGUAUGCCUACACUACCCCUCCUUUAGUGGCUCCCUAUAUAUAGGCUCCCACCACCCCUUCAUUAGGUAAGACAUAACUUGAGUGAGAACUUGGCUUAUGCCUCCACCAUCCCUUUGGGAUUAGGGAAACCCCCUCCUCUCUUAGACACAAAUCUAUGAGUUGUAUCAAGGCACUCCUUAUAUGAUUUAUCUUUCGCACU